UUCCUUUCUUGUAUUUCUUUGUUUUGGACUUUGAACAACAUUGCAGUUCUUAUGGAGAUCCAGCACAUGGUUAUGGUUUCAGAGUCAUAAUUGAUGUUUCUACAACAGACCUAUUUUGCGAAAUAUAUGACUAGUUUUAUUUGCUUCUUAUUGUCUAAUUGACUCUCUCACCCUACAUGAUGAUAUUUUCUUAUUAGGUAAAUCCAUUAUUUGUUUUUUGACUCUCUCCUUGUAUAUUUUUUCUCAUUUGGUAAAUUUGUCGUUCUUUCAGUAUUUAUUUGACUUCGGUGAACUAAUUAAAGUUGGCCGGCAACGGUGAACAACGUAUCAUAGUCAUUGUUCCCUUUUUACUAUGUUUGCUACCUUUGUUUAACGUGUCAUUUAGUUUUCCUUUCUUGAAUUUUCUUGAUAUUAAGAUGAAAACUAAUACUGUUGCUAUCAAGUUAUACACAAGAAAUUGGGUUAGUAUCCUUUUUGUCAUCCAUACCGUUUGCUCAUAAAUUUUUUAAUUAGCAAGAUGUUUAUUGUGAAUGUCAUCAGCUAGCUUUUUUACUUGUUCAACGAAUUUUUAGGGUUCAGCUUUUCUGAAGAAUAUUCUGAUAAUUGGGGUCUGCAUCUUCUCUAGUCAUAGCAAAAAGGAGUUAACUCGUCACAUAGUAUCUUUUAAUAGACACUCUUUAUCUUUUACUACAUUGUGAUUUUUUGUUCAUGUCUUUGCUUGGGGUGUUCGGCGAUUUUUCAGGGUUUAGCUUUUCUCAAGAAUGUUCUCAUAAUUAGCGUCUGAAUCUUUUCCAGUCCCAGCAAAAGGGAGUUAACUUGUUAUAGUAACUUUUAGUAAACGACAUUUUAUCUUUCACUAUAUUGUGAUUUUUUAUUCAUGUCUUUUGCUUGGGGUGUUCACGAUUUUUCAGGGUUUAGCUCUCAAGAAUAUUCUGCAUCUUCUCCAGUCCCAGCAAAAGGGAGUUUAACUUGUUAUAGUCUUUUUAAUAGACGACUUUUCUUCUUUCACUACAUUGUGAUUUUUUGUGCAUGUCUUUUGCUUGGGAUGUUCAACGAAUUUUCAGGUUCAACUUUUAUGAAGAAUAUUCUCAUAAUUAGUGUCUUCAUCUUCUCAGUUCCCAACAAAAGGGAGUUAACUUAUUAUAAUAUCUUUUAAUAGACACCAUGAGAUUUUCAACAACCUACCUAUUUUGUGAAAAAUAAGAAUUUCAGCUUGACAUACUUAUCCUUUUUAAAAUUGUUUCUCACUCUCCUUAUAUGUUUUUCCUCAUUUGGUAAAUCUGUCGUUUCUUUCAGUACUUAUUUGACUUGGGUAAACUAAUUAAAGGUGCCCUGCCAUGGUGGUGGUGUUUUGAGAAAAUUAUUGCAUUGGUGUGUCCCAUUGUAUAUUGUUUCUUUUUUACUAUGUGUACUUCUUUCGUUUUACGUGUCAUUUAAUUUUCCUUUAUCCUUUUUGCCAUCAAUACCGUUUGCUCAUAAAUAUUGUAAUUAGCAAGAUGUUUAUGUGAAUGUUGUCACCUAGCUUUCCAUUUAUUGUUUAAUCGAAUUUUCUGUUUGUUUUAACUUUCUACAUAAUCAAAAUUGUGGUGGUCUUUGGUUUGACAUAACAUCCUCAACCUUACAUUUUAUAUCUCCGUUGGCUCAACGUGCUACAUUGUUUGGAUUUUGGUCUAUCUUUGUAGAUGAUGGGAAAUGGUUCAAGACUAUCUUAGCUGUCAUAUGCAUUUGUUCAAUAAUUUUAAGUUCUAAACUUGCUUCAAUAAUUCCUAUCAGAACAUAUAUACCUUGGCACCUCAGAAGGGAGUUAUCUUGUUCUAGUAUUUCCUUUGAAUGACUUGUAUUGUUUGUGCUUUGUUGUGCUCAAUAAAUUUUCAGGUUCAGAAGAUGUGUUAAAUGUUUGAGGCCUGCAGCCUUCUUUUUUUAGUACCAUUUUAGUGAAGGUUUACUUAAAACUUGGCUUAUAGUAUUUACUGACAUAGCUUCAAUAUUUUAUUAUUUAUCUUCAUGCUGCAGUUUGCAUUCUGUCUUAAUAGUUGUGGGUUUCGAUUCAUGCUGUCUUCUCUGCAUUGGUGUUUUCACUCCCCACUGUCGUUUCCACUGGCAUGGUUUGGAAUUAUGUGUUAAGUACAGAUUUGUUUGGGUUAUCUAGUGUUCUAAUCUCUUCUUCUGAAUGUUUGUGUUGCUCAAAUUUUUUUUUUUGUGAAAAUAAGCGUGAAUAGUCAUUAAUCAAAUAAAACAGUUAGACCUCGCGGUUAUUACAGAAUAGAUUUUCCAAAAUAGAGGAGAUUGGAAUUGCCAAACAGUUGGUGGGAAAAGGCCUACUUAACCACAUUAUGGGCAACAUAAUUACAGUACCUAUUAACAUUAGAAAAAAUACAACACAUAAAAGAGGGAGAUGGCUUGGUACAAAAAGAGACGUAGUUCUCAAAUCUGGUAUAAUAAAAUCUUACUCCUCAUCAAGUGCUUUUUAACUAAUUUGUGCUGAUGUAUCCUAGUUUUGUUAUCAGUUUUGGAUAUAUGGCCAUUUGCUGCCCAUGACACUUUAUCUUUAUAUAAGUUAAUGAAAUUUGUCCUGUUAUAUAUAUUAUAAUAUUUACAAAGUUUAAUCAACUCAUUUGUUUUUUGCUUGAACUUUAUCUUAAGUGAUUGGAUUUGGAUUUUA